rnacentral:rRNA from 1 species
AAACCAACCGGGAUUGCCUCAGUAACGGCGAGUGAAGCGGCAAAAGCUCAAAUUUGAAAUCUGGCACUUUCAGUGUCCGAGUUGUAAUUUGUAGAAGUAGUUUUGGGGCUGGUCCUUGUCUAUGUUCCUUGGAACAGGACGUCAUAGAGGGUGAGAAUCCCGUGUGGCGAGGAUCCCAGUUCUUUGUAAAACGCUUUCGAAGAGUCGAGUUGUUUGGGAAUGCAGCUCUAAGUGGGUGGUAAAUUCCAUCUAAAGCUAAAUAUUGGCGAGAGACCGAUAGCGAACAAGUACAGUGAUGGAAAGAUGAAAAGCACUUUGAAAAGAGAGUGAAAAAGUACGUGAAAUUGUUGAAAGGGAAGGGCUUGAGAUCAGACUUGGUGACUCGUCACUGGGGCCAGCAUCGGGUUCGGGCGGCAGGAGAAUGCCGCGGGAAAGUGGCUCUUCUUUGGGGAGAGUGUUAUAGCCCGCGGAGAUACUGCCUGCGUGGACCGAGGACUGCGGCAA